rnacentral:rRNA from 1 species
AUUGAACGCUGGCGGCAGGCUUAACACAUGCAAGUCGAGCGGGGAGAUGUAGGUUGCUACAUUUCCUAGCGGCGGACGGGUGAGUAAUGCUUAGGAAUCUGCCUAUUAGUGGGGGACAACAUUCCGAAAGGAAUGCUAAUACCGCAUACGCCCUACGGGGGAAAGCAGGGGAUCUUCGGACCUUGCGCUAAUAGAUGAGCCUAAGUCAGAUUAGCUAGUUGGUGGGGUAAAGGCCUACCAAGGCGACGAUCUGUAGCGGGUCUGAGAGGAUGGUCCGCCACACUGGGACUGGGCCACGGCCCAGACUCCUACGGGAGGCAGCAGUGGGGAAUAUUGGACAAUGGGCGAAAGCCUGAUCCAGCCAUGCCGCGUGUGUGAAGAGGGCCUUUUGGUUGUAAAGCACUUUAAGCGAGGAGGAGGCUACUUGGAUUAAUACUCUAGGAUAGUGGACGUUACUCGCAGAAUAAGCACCGGCUAACUCUGUGCCAGCCGCCGCAGUAA